AACCAUGGACUCAAUUCAAAUUGAAUAUACGGUUGAGGGGAACUGUGAUGCUUCUUGCUUUUGUGAGACCGUCACGCCUGUUUCUUGCUAUUGUUGCUUAACUUAACCACUAUUUAUUUGAUAAUUCGGCGCUCGAGAGGCAGAGUUUCAAGGGAUCUAUGAAUUUGUUUCAAUAUUAUACUUCUCCCCCAGUUUUCGGAUUGGGGUUUGAGUCGUUUUUAUUGAUUUACUCGCAAGGGUAGAAUUCUUGAUCGUUGCCAUUACAUAUAUGGAUGAGACAGAAGUAGCCCCGUCGAUGAGUACCUAGAUAGAGUAGGGUGCACGACUUUGAACUCUUCACUUUCGAGUGAAAUGAGUUUCGUCGUCUUUGUUGUCAUUCUACAGCGGGAUAUUCCUAAAACUGUGUAGAUCCUAGUUGGUCAUUUACACUGUGGUAAAACAAACUGCUACAUUU
rnacentral:snoRNA from 1 species